rnacentral:rRNA from 1 species
CGCAUCUGUGCAUGCAGCAUAUCAAUAAGCGGAGGAAAAGAAACUAACAAGGAUUCCCCUAGUAACGGCGAGUGAAGCGGGAAGAGCUCAAAUUUGAAAUCUUAAAGGGUUUCCCUUUACGAAUUGUAGUUUAAAGAAGUGUUUUCUGUUGAGGUUUUGGUAAAAGUUCUUUGGAAUAGGACAUCAUAGAGGGUGAGAAUCCCGUAUUUGACCUUUACUUUCAACUUUGUGAUACACUUUCAAAGAGUCGGAUUGUUUGGGAAUGCAGUCCAAAAUGGGUGGUAAAUUUCAUCUAAAGCUAAAUAUUGGCGAGAGACCGAUAGCGAACAAGUACCGUGAGGGAAAGAUGAAAAGAACUUUGAAAAGAGAGUUAAACAGUACGUGAAAUUGUCAAAAGGGAAGCGUUUGACACCAGUGUUGUUUUUCUGAAAAUCAAUUAAAGAACUGUUUAUGCUAAGUUGUUUAGACUUUAUCAGCUAACUGUUUAGUUUUGAGCUUUUCUUUAAUGCACUUUUCAGUUAACAAGUCAACAUCAAUUUCUUUUGCUGUAAAAAAGCUUGAGGAAGGUGGCUUGAGAUUCGUCUUAAGUGUUUAUAGCCUCUUGCCUAUGCAGUCGGAGAGAUUGAGGUCUGCAGCGUAGAUCCUUCGGGGCUAAAUGCAUUUGUGCUAAGUUAUAGCAUUUUAUAGACAACUUGUUGACUAUGAUUUGUCUUGUAGCUUACUCGCUUAUGUUAUUUUACCUACGCUUAGGAUGUUGACAGCAGUAUAGACUG